rnacentral:rRNA from 1 species
GUGCCAGCCGCCGCGGUAAUACGUAGGUGGCAAGCGUUGUCCGGAUUUACUGGGCGUAAAGGGAGCGUAGGUGGAUAUUUAAGUGGGAUGUGAAAUACUCGGGCUUAACCUGGGUGCUGCAUUCCAAACUGGAUAUCUAGAGUGCAGGAGAGGAAAGUAGAAUUCCUAGUGUAGCGGUGAAAUGCGUAGAGAUUAGGAAGAAUACCAGUGGCGAAGGCGACUUUCUGGACUGUAACUGACACUGAGGCUCGAAAGCGUGGGGAGCAAACAGGAUUAGAAACCCCAGUAGUCCAAU